rnacentral:tRNA from 1 species
AGCCCUGUGACCUAAUGGUUAAGGCGUCGGUCUCCUAGAGCGAAGAUUCAAGGUUCGAGUCCUUGCUGGGUCG